AGACCAUGAUAAGGACAAUGCCGAAGUAGUUCUUUGUACCUUUCCCAAGCUUCGUACAAUGAUUCAAAAUCUAGUUGCAUGAAUGAUGUAAUGUCAUUCCUCAUUUU
rfam:Theobroma cacao cultivar Matina 1-6 chromosome 9, whole genome shotgun sequence.